UUGCAGGUUGGAGUCUCGGGUUAGACGUGUGUGCAAGUCCCUUGGAACAGGGUGCCACUGAGGGUGAGAGCCCCGUAUCGUGCAUGUCGACACCUGUGAGGCCCUUCUGACGAGUCGAGUUGUUUGGGAAUGCAGCUCUAAGUGGGUGGUAAAUUCCAUCUAAGGCUAAAUAUUGGCGAGAGACCGAUAGCGAACAAGUACUGUGAAGGAAAGAUGAAAAGCACUUUGAAAAGAGAGUGAAACAGCACGUGAAAUUGUUGAAAGGGAAGGGUAUUGGGCUCGACAUGGGAUUUACGCAUCGUUGCCUCUCGUGGGCGGCGCUCUGGGUUUUUCCUGGGCCAGCAUCGGUUUUCGUUGCAGGAUAAGGACAAUUGGAAUGUGGCUCCUCGGAGUGUUAUAGCCUUUUGUAGAUGCUGCGUAUGGGGACCGAGGGCUGCGGCGGACUCGUUUCGUCUCGGAUGCUGGCACAACGGCGCAAUACCGCCCGUC
rnacentral:rRNA from 1 species